rnacentral:tRNA from 1 species
GCCGUAGUGGCGCAAUUGGUGGCGCUCCGGUUUCGUAAACCGGUGGCUGUGGGUUCAACUCCCACCUACGGCU